GCCCCCGUAGCUCAGUGGAUAGAGCAUUGGUCUCCGAAGCCAUGCGCGCAGGUUCGAUUCCCGCCGGGGGUACAA
rnacentral:tRNA from 1 species